rnacentral:rRNA from 1 species
ACUGCUCAGUAACACGUGGCUAAUCUGCCCUUAGGACGAGAACAACCCCGGGAAACUGGGGCUAAUUCGCGAUAGGCGAAGAACUCUGGAAUGAGUCUUCACCCAAUAGAACCUGCGUUAUCCUCGUAGGUUUCGCCUAAGGAUGAGGCCGCGACCGAUCAGGUUGUUGGUGAGGUAAUGGCUCACCAAGCCUUUUACCGGUGCGGGCCGUGGCAGCGGGAGCCCGGAGAUGGGCACUGAGACAAGGGCCCAGGCCCUACGGGGCGCAGCAGUCGCGAAAACUUUGCAAUAAGCGAAAGCUUGACAGGGCUAUCCCGAGUGCCAUCCGCUGAGGAAGGCUUUUACCCAGUCUAGAACGCUGGGGGAAUAAGGAGAGGGCAAGUCUGGUGUCAGCCGCCGCGGUAAUACCAGCUCUCCGAGUGGUGUGGAUGUUUAUUGGGCCUAAAGCAUCCGUAGCUGGCUAAGUUAGUCCCUUGUUAAAUCCACCGAAUUAAUCGUUGGAUUGCGGGGGAUACUGCUUGGCUAGGGGACGAGAGAGGCAGACGGUAUUUUCGGGGUAGGGGUGAAAUCCUAUAAUCCCGGGAAGACCACCAGUGGCGAAGGCUGUCUGCUAGAACGCGCCCGACGGUGAGGGAUGAAAGCUGGGGGAGCGAACCGGAUUAGAUACCCGGGUAGUCCCAGCUGUAAACGAUGCAGGCUAGGUGUUUGGACGGCCACGUGCCGUUCUAGUGCCGCAGGGAAGCUGUUAAGCCUGCCGCCUGGGGAGUACGAUCGCAAGAUUGAAACUUAAAGGAAUUGGCGGGGGAGCAC